CGCAGCCGCGGUAAUUCCAGCUCCAAUAGCGUAUAUUAAAGUUGUUGCAGUUAAAAAGCUCGUAGUUGAAUUUCGGGGUUAGUAGGUUGGUCAUGCCUCUGGUAUGUACUGGUCCCACUGAUUCCUCCUUCCUGAUGAACCUUAAUGCCAUUAAUUUGGUGUUUUGGGGAAUUUGGACCGUUACUUUGAAAAAAUUAGAGUGUUUAAAGCAGGCUCACGCUUGAAUACAUUAGCAUGGAAUAAUGAAAUAGGACGUUUGAUUCUAUUUUGUUGGUUUCUAGGAUCGACGUAAUGAUUAAUAGGGAUAGUUGGGGGGCAUUAGUAUUCAAUUGUCAGAGGUGAAAUUCUUGGAUUUAUUGAAGACUAACUACUGCGAAAGCAUUUGCCAAGGAUGUUUUCAUUAAUCAAGAACGAAAGUUAGGAGAUCGAAGACGAUCAGAUACCGUCGUAGUCUUAACCAUAAACUAUGCCGACUAGGGAUCGGAUGAUGUUAAUUUUUUAAUGACUCAUUCGGCGCCUU
rnacentral:rRNA from 1 species